GUUCCUCCUUCUGUGUUAUUCUAUCAUCUGUAGCCUGUUUAUCUGAGCAUUUCUGUGGAACAUGAAUGGAAAAUAAUAAUAUUAUGAGAAAGAGAAAAGAAGGAGGAGUUGAUCAUAUUGGAAACUCUUAUACAUCGAUAUUGAGGUUGAGCUGUUAAACUCCUCCCGUCGCAACUUCCACAAGGUUUGGAGGCAGAGUCAAGGAUUAGAGGGAAAUCCAAUGAAAAUGAGGAAACAUUGAAGAAGAGGAAGGAGUAAAUGAAUGAAAGAGAGAAAGAGAGAGAGAGAGAGAGAGAGAGAAAAGGGAGAGAGAAGGUGAAUUUGUGUGUUGGAUGGAAAUGGUUAGUUGAUAAUGUUGACUGAAAAAAGAUCAACAGAAGAAUAAGAAGAAGAAGCAAAGAAAAAACGAGAAUGAGUAUGAAUAGUCUAUCUGAUUCUGUGAGAUUUUCAUGAAACAAAUGUCUUCAUCUCCAUCACCAUCUUCAUCCUCAUCUUCAUCAUCAACACCAAAACAUCAAGAUUAACACCAAUACCAACACCAGAAAAAUCAUCUUCAACAUUACUCGUUCUUCUAAUUAUUAAUUGUGUUGUGAUUCAACUAAUAAGAUUAUUGUGAUCAAAUGUUAAUCAAUCAACGAUUCAUUUCGUUCAAUUCAACUCCUUCCUCUGUAAUCAUCAUCUCGAAAUUUAAUGUCCCAUAAUUACUCAACUGGAAUCGGAAUUUAUGUGAUUAAUUGUGUUAAUAGUUUUAGUUCAAUCAACAUCACAUCUUCACUUGAGAGAUAAAGUUCAUUAUCUGCUAAUUAUAAAUUCCAUCAACACCCAAAAUCCUAAAACACCAAAGAUGAAUCACUUAGGAACCAUGUAUGCCACUAAAAGGAGAAGACGAAAUAGUAAAAGUGUCCGUGUUCAGCCGAAAGAAGGUCAAACCAAGUCAAACCCAUCUAAACGACAUCGUGAACGACUCAAUGCUGAGCUUGAUAUGUUAGCAAGUCUCUUACCUUAUGAACAAAGUGUUCUUAGUAAAUUAGAUAAACUCUCAAUAUUAAGACUCAGUGUUUCCUAUUUGAGAACGAAAAGUUAUUUUCAAGCAAUUUUCAACAAGGAGCGUGAAAAACAAGGCAAUUUACACGAAAUUCAUCGAAAUACGCCGAGAGAACUUCUUUAUCCUGAAAUUCUGAUGGAAGGCGAUCUCAUUCUCCAGGCUCUCAAUGGAUUUCUACUCAUACUCACCUGUGAUGGAGAGGUUUUUUAUACUUCUCAUACCGUCGAAACGUAUCUUGGAUUUCAUCAGUCGGAUAUAUGCCAUCAAAGUGUCUACGAACUGGUUCAUUCCGAAGACCGAGAAGAGCUUCAGCGACACCUCAUGUGGAAUUCUCAUCUAUCCAAUGAGAGAAUCAACUUAACACUACAAGAAGCCUUUUUACAAGAAAAUUUGCAAUAUUUAGAAAGAAACUUUACCGUUAGAUUUAGAUGUUUACUGGACAAUACUUCGGGGUUCAUGAGAUUGGACAUAAGAGGACGGAUUAAAGUGCUUCAUGGACAAAAUCAUAAAACGGAUAAUCCACCUUUAGCUCUGUUCGCUGUUUGUACUCCCUUUGGUCCACCCUCGCUAUUGGAAAUGCCACAAAAAGAUUCAAUGUUUAAGUCGAAACAUAAACUUGACCUUUCGCUCGUGUCAAUGGACCAAAGAGGUAAACAGUUACUGGGUUAUUCUGAUACCGAAAUGUCCAACAAGGGUGUUUAUGAUCUAGUCCAUUUUGAUGAUCUCGCUUAUGUUGCGAGUGCUCAUCAAGAAUUACUUAAAACAGGAGCAUCAGGGUUAAUCGCUUAUCGUUUGAUCAGCAAAGAAAAUAAGUGGCAAUGGCUUCAAACGAGCGCACGACUUGUAUAUAAAAAUAGUAAACCCGAUUUUAUUCUUUGUACUCAUAGACCAUUAAUGGAAGAGGAAGGUCGAGAUCUUUUAGGAAAACGGACAAUGGAUUUUAAAGUAACUUAUUUAGACGGAGGCCUUGGGGCGAUUAACGAUCGUUCAGGUUUAUUGUCUGAUAGCGAUUUUGUGCUUCGUUGUCAACGGAAUCGUAGAUAUAAAUCUCAGAUUCGUGAUUUAAUAACAAAUUGUCGCUCGACACCAACAGGAACCGGAACAACACAUAUUAGCAAUUCUAAACGUAAAUCUCUUACUGGAAAUGAUGAAAGUACCACAGUCUAUACCCCGCCCUUUACUGAGUUAUGUCCACCGAAUGCAAUGUCCGCUGCUGCAGCACAGGCUGCAAAUGCAGCGGCAGCGGCUGCUGCUCAUGUAGCUCAUGUAGCUGUUACAGCAAAUGCAGUAGCAUCAACCUAUUCACACCAUCAUCCUCAUCCUCAUCACCAUCACUCUCAUCAUCACCACCCUGGUUCAGGUUCUGUCCCAUCGUCAGUUUAUCCUUACUCAACUCAUGCUCAUACAACAGAUAAUAUGAACUUGUCAGCAGCAGCCUACGGGAUGCCUCAGAAUUUGUUCACAGCGGCAGCGAUUGACCACAACUCAAGGUCAUUUUUAACAACUGAUCCUUUGUUUCAUUACUCCCGCCACGCAUUAACUACCUACUAUCCCGAUUAUCAUUCAGUGGCACAAUAUCCAACCAAUGGUUUCCUUGAUCAUCGUUCAUCAUCAACAGGCCGAUCUGCGUCUUUCGAUUCAUCAGCAUCAACAACACCAACGAUGGGAGCAGAUAAACUGUAUGGAUGUCAGCUCACACCACCGAGUGAGAUUAAAUAUAAUGGAAGUGAGUCCUCAUCUAGUAAUAAUAAUAGAUCUACGAUUGGAGUUAAGUCUUGUUGUGACAAUUAUAAUAAUUCUGGUUCAUCUUCAUCGUCUAGUUUAAUGGGUCAUCAUCCUCAUCACCAUCACCAUCAUCAUCCUGGUGCUUCAGCGCCCGUGGCAGUUUCUGGAGCAUCAAUUCAACCUUUACUUUCUGCAGCUUCACCAAAUGAGAAUAAAUUAUCUGAAUUAACUAAUUGUCAUCGUCAUUCCUCAUCAACUUCAGCCUUUAGUUUUGGCUUGUCCGGCUCAUCAUCUUCAUCGGCAGUUAAUGGAGAUUGUAUAUCAGUUACAAAGCACAAGAAUAAUAGUCUUCCUCAUAACAACAACAACUCACCUCCAUCUUUAUCCAUGGAAACAGGAUCAGCUCCAUCAACACCGUCCAUGUCUGGUUCAGCUUUUAGUUCAACAUCAACCAACAAUCAAACAAACAUGAGCAGCGAUCAAUCCAGAUCAAGUGUCUUGAUGUGGAAUCGUAAUACCUGUGGUACAACAACAACAACAUCUUCAUCUCCAUCAUCAUCAUCAUCGCCCACGAUUAACAUCAACAAUAAUAAUGGUAAUAAAUAUUCAUCUUCCUCUUCAUCUUCCUCAUCUUCACUUAGUGAAACACUUACACUUAACAAAUCAUCGCCAGUUAUAAGUUGUAAAUGGAAUGGAUCGAUUUCCAAUGUAAGGCCACUUUCUCCGCAUCCAUCGAUGACUCUUAGUCCCAAUUCUGGUAAAGUGCCGAUGUCAAUGGCCACUUAUCAACACUCAGCAUCACUUUAUGCAUCAACAGAUAUUAAUCCAAUUGAAGAUGAGCAAGAAUCUUGUCACUGGUUAGAAAUGAAUUGAUCAACCUUAUUUACUCUCUCAGGUCCAUUUAUCGAGGGUUGGAGUGUGGAGAACAUCGGACACUGGCGAUCUCAUUUGCCUACCCUCGGAUAGAUUCAAUCAUCCAUUUGAACCAGUCAAAGAAAAAGCAAUAAGAGGAAUAGCAUCAGCAUAAGAAAUUGCAUUGGAAGAGGCAUCACCAUCAUCAUCAUCGUCAUCAUUAGUGACUUCAACUCCAAAGAUCAUGUUAACCACCUUAAAAACCAUCAGUCCAGCCUCCAACUACCAGCCCGUUGACCACCAGACUGAUGACAACAUUGAGCUCAUGGAACUUUGUUGAUGAAUCAAUUUCCAAUCAUCAAUUGGAAAAAGCUGAUGAUGAAAGAUUCAUGCAAAUGAGAACGCUGAUUAUUCAUCUGCUCAUAAGCAUAAAAGAGUAAGUGAAACUUAUGGAAAAAUGAAACCAAAAUGGUACAAGAAAAAAACGACGAAAAUGAAAAAGAUGAAAAUCGAAUACAAAAUAACUAAGCAAUAAAUCGAGGAAACGGAAACAAAACAUUUGGACAAAGAUGACAACGCGCUUUGUGCGUGUUUGACUCUUCUCUCAUUAUCUCUUCGGCUCCUCUCCCUCUUCUCCAUCUUCUUCCCUCAUCCAUCUGUACAUAGGAAACAAGCACGCGUCUCUUUCCUUCCCCUUCAACUAGAAUGCGUGUUACAAAACUCCAGUCAAUUCUUUCUCUUCUUUCUCUCUCAUUCUCUUCAUCAUCAUUAUUUUUAUCAUCAUCACUUUUUCUUUCAGUUCCUGGAAACCGUUUAAUCUUAAAUGUAUAAUACAAAAUAAAAGCAUCAAUAGGAAACAAACAAACAUUUUACCUUCGAUUUACCUGAAAAAUUUUCUCUUCUUGAUCUGUUUCUCCCCUCGACUCUCCCUUUCCCCUUUUCCCCUUCACUUCCUUUUUAUUAGAAAAUCUCCCUCCCACUCUCUUCCUCCCUGUUUCUUGCAUUCUGUCAAUAAUUAAUGUUAUUAAUUUAUUUCAAUGUGUAUUCAUCUCGACACACAACAAAUCAUGUAUAUGUAUAUAGGUGCGAUGUUUUUUGUGAUAUAACAAAACCAAUAAUGAUAAUAACAUAAUAAUGAAGCGAAUAACAAAAAACUGAAAUAAACAAAAACAAAAUAAUAGCAAACAAACAAUAA